CCUGUUUAGGUCUGUGUAGAAACCCAAAGGCUGGCCGGCCUCAUAAAUCCUCUAGACAUUACUGGUGUGGACACUCUGGCUGGAUGCCAUGGGAACGCUGCACAGAAAUAGAAAGGAGAGAAACACAUCGACGCUCUGGAUGUCGGGGAGGCACUCAAGUGACUCUACUGGAUCACAUUAUGCUAAUCGUCUUUCGUCUGUGAGAACAGUGUCUACAGUGCUUGCGUUGGCGUUGGACUCACCAGGAUGUGACUUCAUCAUGUUCAGUUACACAGGAGCUCGGAAAGGCAGGUCCCAAAGCCGACAACUGUGUUCAGCAGUGAACCUCCUCUGAAAAGCGACCCACGGUGUGGCUUCUCUUCAACUCCAUUCCUUGUGUGGAAAAGACCUCAUUUUCAUGUGGUUGAAAAUGUGGUCUUUGGAAGAACUGACCUUGCUUAAUGAAGUCAGACUGAAUUAUAAACUAAGAAUUGGGUUUUUUUUUUGUUCAGAACAACUAGAAGGCCAACGUGGAGGAAUGGCUGGACAUGAUCCAUGGAGGGCCACCCAGCAGUUUGGAUGAAGAGUCUGGAUUAGAAACUUGGAAUUUUCAUGUCAUCCUCCCAAACUCUGCAAACCUGGUCCACGAAACCAAAGUUUUCUAAGACUUUGAAGCCCAAAGUGGGAGGAGGAUUAUCCAGAAGGACCCGGGAAUGAGCAUUCUCUGUAAUGAGCAAAAGCAAUGAGAGUGUGGGAUAUGGGACAUCGUACAACUCAGAAGAUGAUCCGAGGACAUACUGAGCCGU
rnacentral:lncRNA from 1 species